GAUGAACGCUGGCGGCGUGCCUAAUACAUGCAAGUCGAGCGAACAGAUGAGGAGCUUGCUCCUCUGACGUUAGCGGCGGACGGGUGAGUAACACGUGGAUAACCUACCUAUAAGACUGGGAUAACUUCGGGAAACCGGAGCUAAUACCGGAUAAUAUAUUGAACCGCAUGGUUCAAUAGUGAAAGACGGUUUUGCUGUCACUUAUAGAUGGAUCCGCGCCGCAUUAGCUAGUUGGUAAAGUAACGGCUUACCUAGGCAACGAUGCGUAGCCGACCUGAGAGGGUGAUCGGCCACCCUGGAACUGAGACACGGUCCAGACUCCUACGGGAGGCAGCAGUAGGGAAUCUUCCGCAAUGGGCGAAAGCCUGACGGAGCAACGCCGCGUGAGUGAUGAAGGUCUUCGGAUCGUAAAACUCUGUUAUUAGGGAAGAACAAAUGUGUAAGUAACUAUGCACGUCUUGACGGUACCUAAUCAGAAAGCCACGGCUAACUACGUG
rnacentral:rRNA from 1 species